UGUCAACGGCUUCUUGGUUGCUCAUCUGCUCCCAUAGUCCAUCAGAAGCAAAUAUCAGAAACUGAUCUUGUGGUUGGAUCUCAUGCUCUGUUAUUGACGGUUCCCCACUCAAAAUCGGUCUCUUGAUCGGCUCGCGGAGUCUGUACUUCGUGUAUAAUGGUUCCUUGUUGAACUCUGCCUUCUUAAGAUAGAUGUCGCCGAUGGAUCUAGAUAUCUGCAAAGGAUCAACCAUAUCUAGCCUUUUCAAUCUCAAUCAUCAGGGUUUAUCUUGACAUGGCAAAGGAACAACCAUAUCUAGGUAUUUGCGCAUAAUGUCUAUAGGCAGCCAUGGAGACAAAACACUGGUUCAACUGUUGUGUCGGUUAUAGCAUCUAUCUUAAUGUAUGACAUACAUAAACUGGCUUUAAGACACCACCAACUUCAACAACAGCUCUCGGGUUGGAGGGUUUGGUGUGACAAAGUCAAGGUUACUAAAAAUCAAGCCUUUUGACUAUACAGCCACAAGUUUAAUGCAGGGACCUCAUCUCCAUACAGAAAUCACAACUAUGUACUUGUAUAAAAACUGAUCCUUUCACCCUAAAAUCUAACUAAGUAUAAUUCUGAUUGAGAAACGUACCUGAAUAAGACCCUUAACACGCCACACAUUGUGCUUUAACACGACGAUAUGAGAAUCAUCCGGGUGCAAGGAGCGCAUUUCCUGUCUAACAGACUCUAUGCUCACGUUAUGUUCCGCUGAGAGCUGAAGCGCAAUAACCUCGCCUGUAGCAUUCAUAGCCCUUCCAAGAACUGCACGUGAAUCCCCAACGUUAGCGAUGUAGAGCCUGCCUCCGCAUAUAACACCCACCAGGCAGCAAGACCCAACCGCUGCAAUCUGUGGCUUAACCGGCCACUGCUUUGUCACAACCCCUAGGAACCCUUCUUCCGUCGCUUCAUAUGCCUUUCUAAUUACAUCCACCGACAUAGAAGCAUGCUCUGCUGCGAAUCCUGUAAAAUUCAAUAAGAUUUUUAGUUUCCAUGCGGAUGGUUGGUCCAUAAGUAUGUAUGCAUAUUAUUAUAUUCAUUCAUUUGCUCACUCUUUAGAUGCUGAAAGAGGUGAUCAUUGACAAAGCGGGAGGUCUCAGGACCGCCAUGUCCGUCAUAGAUUCCGAUAAAGGUUCCAAAAGGACCAGAGUCAAGUGUACUCAAAGGGCCAGACUCAACCUGGCUCUGAUCCUCAAGCAGAUUGUUGGCCUGAACAACUGCCAUUGAGAAUU
rnacentral:lncRNA from 1 species